rnacentral:rRNA from 1 species
CUUAAAUGUAGAUUGCAUGACUCAGAGAUGGGCUUUCCUUCGGGACUAUCUACAAGGUGCUGCAUGGUUGUCGUCAGCUCGUGCCGUGAGGUGUCGGGUUAAGUCCCAUAACGAGCGCAACCCCUAUCGUUAGUUACCAUCAGGUUAUGCUGGGGACUCUAGCGAGACUGCCACCGUAAGGUGAGAGGAAGGUGGGGAUGACGUCAAAUCAGCACGGCCCUUAUGUCCGGGGCUACACACGUGUUACAAUGGUAGGGACAGCGAGCAGCUUAGUGGCGACACUUGGCGAAUCUUAAAACCCUAUCUCAGUUCGGAUUGGAGUCUGCAACUCGACUCCAUGAAGUUGGAAUCGCUAGUAAUCGCGUAUCAGCAACGACGCGGUGAAUACGUUCCCGGGCCUCGUACACACCGCCCGU